GGCGUGGCCAAGUGGUUAAGGCAGCGGGUUUUGAUCCCGCCAUCGCAGGUUCGAAUCCUGCCGC
rnacentral:tRNA from 1 species